GUAUUAGGACUGUAGGCAAAUCCGCAGACCUAGCUGAAACCUAAUAGUACCGCGAGUCUUCGGAUGAGUGGAUAGAGCAGGUAAGCAGACUUCCAAGAAAAACCGCUAAGCUUCAGGUUAUAAAAACCCGUACCGCAAACCGACACAGGUAUCCGGGAAGAGAAUUCUAAGGUGCUCGAGUGAAUCAUGGCUAAGGAACUCGGCAAAAUGGCCCUGUAACUUCGGGAGAAGGGGCGCUGGCAGUAAUGUCAGCCGCAGUGAAAAGGCCCAGGCGACUGUUUAACAAAAACACAUGGCUUUGCAAAAUCGAAAGAUGAAGUAUAAGGCCUGACACCUGCCCGGUGCUGGAAGGUUAAGAGGGGAUGUCAUCCGCAAGGAGAAGCAUUGAAUCGAAGCCCCAGUAAACGGCGGCCGUAACAAUAACGGUCCUAAGGUAGCGAAAUUCCUUGUCGGGUAAGUUCCGACCUGCACGAAUGGUGUAACGAUCUGGGCGCUGUCUCAGCCAUGAGCUCGGUGAAAUUGUGGUCCCGGUGAAGACGCCGGGUACCCGCAACGGGACGGAAAGACCCCAUGCACCUUCACUACAAUUUAACAUUGACAUUGGAUACAGGAUGUGUAGGAUAGGUGGGAGGCUUUGAAGCGGCGUCGCUAGGCGUCGUGGAGCCAACGUUGAAAUACCACCCUUUCUGUAUUCGGUGUCUAAUCCCUCUACGAGGGAGACAUUGUUUGAUGGGUAGUUUGACUGGGGUGGUCGCCUCCAAAAAGGUAACGGAGGCUUUCAAAGGUAAGCUCAAUACGCUUGGUAACCGUAUGAGGAGUGCAAUAGCAUAAGCUUGCUUGACUGUGAGACAGACAAGUCGAUCAGGGUCGAAAGACGGAUAUAGUGAUCCGGUGGUUCUGCAUGGAAGGGCCAUCGCUCAAAGGAUAAAAGGUACGCUGGGAUAACAGGCUGAUCUCCCCCAAGAGCUCAUAUCGACGGGGAGGUUUGGCACCUCGAUGUCGGCUCGUCACAUCCUGGGGCUGGAGAAGGUCCCAAGGGUUCGGCUGUUCGCCGAUUAAAGUGGCACGCGAGCUGGGUUCAGAACGUCGCGAGACAGUUCGGUCCCUAUCUGUUGUGGGCGUAGGAAUUUUGAGUGGGGCUGACCUUAGUACGAGAGGACCGGGUUGGACUAGCCUCUAGUGAAUCUGUUGUUCCGCCAGGGGCAUUGCAGAGUAGCUACGCUGGGAAUAGAUAAGCGCUGAAAGCAUCUAAGUGCGAAACUAGCCACGAGAUGAGAAUUCCAUAUAGGACCGUAGAAGACUACUACGUUGAUAGGUUACAGAUGUAAAGCUGGUGACAGCAUAGUCGAGUAAUACUAAUCAUCCA
rnacentral:rRNA from 1 species